AGCACCAAAUCCAAACCCUUAUCUUUUAUAGGCUCAGCUUCUUGAAUUCUUCGCCAGGCACCCCUAUUCUCAUAUCUUCCGGACUCUUGGUUACAUUAUACAGUACUCCGUUUUCUUAUAUUUUCCCAUAUUUUCUCCAUCUUUCUUCUUGUGUUUUUUUACCUCCGUCUUGCCGCGUUCUUGGUUAGCUUUCUGUUCGAGAAUCAAGAUUUUUCGUCCACGAAUCUUUUUGGUUUGGCUUACCGUGUUUGUUGUAUUUCAAGCAAUUUUCAGGCAUUGAUAGUGGGUAUCUCUUGAUUCUUGAAAGGUUUAUCUCCACUUUCACUUUCAUGGCCAUGUUCCGAAUCUCCCUAAGAGGAAGGUCACUGCAGUAGUUGAAAAAACAAAGUGGGUAUCUGCUAAAAUUAGAGAAAAGGGAUUGAAAAGCAGGGGGUUUUUAAGGAAGAUGAAGAUUCAGUGUGAUGUGUGUGAGAGAGCUCCAGCCACUGUGAUUUGUUGUGCAGAUGAAGCAGCGCUUUGUGCGAAAUGUGACAUAGAAGUGCAUGCAGCGAACAAGCUUGCAAGCAAGCACCAGAGGCUUCUCCUUCAAUGCCUUUCCAACAAGCUGCCUCGUUGUGACAUAUGCCAAGAAAAGGCAGCUUUCAUUUUCUGUGUUGAAGACAGAGCCCUUUUCUGCCAGGACUGUGAUGAACCAAUCCAUUCAGCUGGUAGCCUCUCUGCAAAUCAUCAGCGGUUUCUGGCAACUGGAAUCCAAGUGGCUUUAGGAUCUAGUUGCACCAAGGAUACUAAGAAGAGUUGUUUAGAGCCACCCAAUCAGAGUGCACAACAAACUUCCAUGAAAUUGCCUGCACAACAACCAUCAAGCUUCAGCACUUCAUGGGCGGCCGAUGACUUAAUGCAAUUCUCAGACUUUGAAUCAUCCACUGACAAGGUAAUGAAAUCGAUAUAUGAAUUCCAUACCAUUACUCCACAUUUAUAUUCCUUUUUUAUUGUCUUUGCAAAGACUAAAAACGUUAGAGAACUUGGGAAUGCCAUUGCCAAGAAGAAGACCAGAAAUAUUUGGCUUUAGCCUGGCAUUAUUUAUUUUUGGGUUUAUCACUAA
rnacentral:misc_RNA from 1 species